AGUGAACGCUGGCGGUUGGCCUAACACAUGCAAGUCGAACGGCAGCACAGUAAGAGCUUGCUCUUACGGGUGGCGAGUGGCGGACGGGUGAGGAAUACAUCGGAAUCUACUUUUUCGUGGGGGAUAACGUAGGGAAACUUACGCUAAUACCGCAUACGACCUACGGGUGAAAGCAGGGGAUCUUCGGACCUUGCGCGAUUGAAUGAGCCGAUGUCGGAUUAGCUAGUUGGCGGGGUAAAGGCCCACCAAGGCGACGAUCCGUAGCUGGUCUGAGAGGAUGAUCAGCCGCACUGGAACUGAGACACGGUCCAGACUCCUACGGGAGGCAGCAGUGGGGAAUAUUGGACAAUGGGCGCAAGCCUGAUCCAGCCAUACCGCGUGGGUGAAGAAGGCCUUCGGGUUGUAAAGCCCUUUUGUUGGGAAAGAAAAGCAGCAGGUUAAUACCCCGCUGUUCUGACGGUACCCAAAGAAUAAGCACCGGCUAACUUCGUG
rnacentral:rRNA from 1 species